UACAGAGGUCCCAAGCGUUGUUCGGAUUCAUUGGGCGUAAAGGGUGCGUAGGCGGCGGGGUAAGUCAGGUGUGAAAUCUCGGGCUCAACCCCGAAACUGCACUUGAUACUGCCUCGCUUGAGUACUGGAGAGGAGACGUGGAAUUUGACGGUGUAGCGGUGAAAAUGCGCAGAUAUCGGGAGGAACGACCGGUGGCGAAGGCGGUUCUGCUGGGCCUU
rnacentral:rRNA from 1 species